GGGUCUAUGAUGACAAACCUAUGUCACGAAGAGAGAUGAUGACAUAAAAAUCAUGCUCAAUAGGAUUACGCUGAGGCCC